rfam:Daphnia pulex DAPPTscaffold_592_Cont10130, whole genome shotgun sequence.
GUUAGGAUGGCCGAGCAGUCUAAGGCGCUGCGUUCAGGUCGCAGUCCAGUUCUGUGGGCGAGGGUUCGAAUCCCUCUUCUGACA